CGUGAGCAAUAUGGAGUCUUGCAGAGGGCAUUGGAUCAUCCCCAUCUAGACAGAUGUAUGGGCUUCCUACAUCGGUGUCUGUUAAGGAAAUACCUAUUGUUCACCUAUGUACUAUGAGAUUAUACAAAAACCUAGAGAGAGGGAGGUUUUGUAUAACAUGAAUGCAUAACUGUAAUCCAUGUCACACUGUUAGGCUAAUUUGAAUGUAGUGUUCAAGGUGUUUCCCCUGUUCUUUCUGAGCGCAAAGUCCUCUCGUCACCCCUAACAGUCUGUGCACUGUUCAGUCAGCUGUGCUCCAGUGCCUCCUUGAUUAAAAUGACAGUUUAGCUAAUGGAGUACAAUGACUUCCCCUUGAAUUUGUUCACUGCUGAUAACCUUGGCCUUUGCAGGGCAGCGGAAACCAAUGGGCCGAAGUUGACUCAUUAUGUUCUUUUUCCUAUAAAAUUUGCAAAUACUUUCUGCCUGUGCUGUUUAUUUUGCAGCUCAACAAACCAAUAUGUUAAAGCAUUCAUGACCUAUAACAUCACUUACAUUCCUGUAGUGCCAGCUGAAUGUUAGACAGGAUAUAUACUCUCUUAAGCAUUUAUUUGCCUGUGGGACAUGGAGUUAAGAGUGGAUGGAUCCAUCUCUUAUAAAUAUAUUUUGAUCUAAAAUAUUAUUUCGAUGUACUUUGGCAUAUUUUUUGAGCUGAGAGUUGUGUAAGAAAAUUUGGAGAGUACAACAUACGGAGGAAAUUACCUUCCAAUCCGCACAGUAGUUGAGGGAGUUCUGAUCAGGGCAGUGCACAUCGGAAUUAUAGGAACCAUAUCUCUAAAAUAUCCCACAUGACUCUGAGUUAAAGACAUGAAUUCAUGUGUUCUACGUCUACAAGGACUAUGCUAUAGCUGGUUCCACCCCCCCACUUUCAGGGAGAAGCUCCAUGGCACAGUAGUAGAACACUUGCUUUGUAUGCAAAUGGUCCUUUUUUUUCAAUACUUGGCAUCUUCAAGUAGGGUCAGGAAUGUUUUCUGCCUGGAGAGUCGCAGUAAAGGUAAAAAAAGGUAAACCCCUGGAUAGUUUAGUCCAGUCAAAUUUGACUUUGGGGUGUGGCACUCAUCUCCGCUUUCAGGCCAAGGGAGCCAGUGUUUGUCUGCAGACAGCUUUCCGGGUCAUGUGGCCAGCAUGAUUAAACUGCUUCUGGAACAAUGGGACACUGUGCCAGAGCCACGGAAGCGCCAUUUACCUUUUCACUGCAGCGGUACCUAUUUAUCUACUCACGCUGGUGUGCUUUCAAACUGCUAGGUUGGCAGGAGCUGGGACAAAGCAACAGGAGCUCACCCCGUUGUGGGGAUUCAAACUGUCAACCUUAUGAUUGGCAAGCCCAAGAAGCUCGGUGGUUUGGACUACAGCGCCACCUGCGUCCCUGGUAGAGUCACAGUAGACAGUUCUGAGCUUUGAUGGACCAGUGAUCUGAUGGUAUAAGGCAAUUUCCUAUGUUCUUAUGAAUGGGCUCAACUUCCCACCUGUGUCACUGCUGCCCAUUCACUUGCUCGUUCCUGCUUGGCCCAAUCUCUGCAACCACAGAGGAAGAGGGCAAGGCAAGUGGAGGAUGUCAUGCUUUGGGGAGGGUAAGGAGUUAGGAAGUGAUAGCUAGGAGGCUCUGCAGGUCACCAAUUGGCCCCCUGUGGAGGUGUGGGUCUCAGCAGGAGCCUGGUGCUGCCAACCCUCACUGUAGAAACCCACCAAUUUUUCGCUCUACAAUUUUAGUGUAAUGAAAGAGGAAAAUUCUUGCCAGUUGGGCACAAACAGUAAGAUCUUUCCGGCAUUUCAAUCCUUGAUCCUGUUUGUAUUAAAAAGGACUUUGCGACAACUAAAGCUUCAGUCAUGAAGUACUGAUUUAAAAAGACAGGUCAGUUGACUGAAUGCAUUUAGGAAAUGCUUUGGAAAUGUCAUUAUGUGUUUUCAGCAGAGCUAAAUCACAGGUCGGGUUUAAAGGAUUACAUUUGCUGGCAGUAGACAAACACAAGUGAGAUGUAAAAAUUUCCACAGUUAGAAAUUUUAUUAUGGGAAGUUAGUGUUAGUUGGCAGCAGGAAUAAUUGUCGUUGCAAUCCUGUGCCCAGUUCUGCCUGUUUAAUUCCACUGAAGCAAGGAAGUUUCAGCAGAUGUAACUGAUGAAGGAUUGUAACCUGAAUUUGCAUCAUCUUACAAUGGAUUAUUUCUUCUCUACUCAAACAAUAUUGCUGAUACAAAAUAAGUUUUAAAAUGUUUAUUGCUCUUGCGUGACUUGGUUACCCAAGUUGUUGAGAUGCACAUGACUCCUUGUCUGGCAAAGCGCAAGGGAAACUAAUUCUCAUGUAGACAUGCCCACUUCUGCUGGGUUGUCACCAGCAUGAAAGCUGGCAUUCUCACUAUGGGACAAGCAAGAGCAACUCUCGUUUCCCAGUACAUUCCUCUUCUACUCUUUGUGCGCACAGGCACUUUUUAAAAAGUAAAGCAAAUGCUCCAGCCUGUUGCGUCAAAAACCAGUGUGGGUGCAGUAGUGAAGAUUGCUACAAAAAGCAGCAUCAACAGGAAUUCCUAUAUAAAAAAAUUCCUUCCAGUAGCACCUUAGAGACCAACUAAAUUUGUUAUUGGUAUGAGCUUUUGUGUGCAUGCACACUUCUUCUCAUACCAAUAACAAACUUAGUUGGUCUCUAAGGUGCUACUGGAAGGAAGGAAUUUUUUUAUUUUGUUUUGACUACGGCAGACCAACACAGCUACCUACCUGUAACAGGAAUUCCUAUGUGAGUCUGAAAGUUUCCUUUUCAGACAAUAAGACGAGUUAGUCAAGUAUUUUCAUAUUGUUAGGUUCUCAAAUUUUUGAAGGUUCUGGAAGCUUACAGGGCUGUUUCAUUUGUGUGUGUAUGUUUCAGUCCUUUUAAUUUACAAAUGUUCACUUCUCCAAACCUAGGGUUGCCCACCCCAUAUGUAUCAGCAACCUUCUUCUUGAAUGCUUUUGUUUUGUUUCCAAACUCAAACCACCUGACUUUGCUAUUAGAGGAAACAUGAUAAUGGCUCUGCUUGUUGACAAGACAAAUAAUAGACUGCAGCUCAGUUGUUGUUUUAAAGAAUAAGUUUCCUGUAUAGAAAAUGAUCAUGGUGAAGCCUGAGCAUAUGUAAAUGUUAACCUCCCCAAACUGUAUUUAGAAUAGCAAAGCAGAAGUCACCUGAACACAAGAACCGGCAGGAUUACCGUUCAGAAUUCUUUUUUCCUCUGGGGGAAAUAUAAGUGUUGUCGACUUGGAGUGUGUCGUUUUUGGCUGCUCCAUCACUGUGAGGAGAAAAGUAUUGUCGACAACAUUGAACGUUGCUGGUUUAUAAACACAGGGCUCUAUGAAAUACAGUGGUACCUCGGGUUAAGAACUUAAUUCGUUCCGGAGGUCCGUUCUUAACCUGAAACUGUUCUUAACCUGAGACACCACUUUAGCUAAUGGGGCCUCCUGCUGCCGCUGAGCCGCGCGAUUUCUGUUAUCAUCCUGAAGCAAAGGUUCUUAACCCGAGGUACUAUUUUUGGGUUAGCAGAGUCUGUAACCUGAAGUGUCUUUAACCUGAAGCAUCUGUAACCCGAGGUAUCACUUUAAUUCUGUUGGGGCCUUUUCCUGUGCUGAUAUUCUUUGUUGUUCUUGUCUCAGCUAAACUGUGUAUAACAAAUGGAUAGUUAUCCUGCUCAAUACAUAAUGACAAGGUGUGAUGGAUUUUUUAAAAAAAUAAUGGGAUCCCACCCCCCUCUUGGAUGUAGAGGCCAACCAUGAUAAUGGAUUUUGAAAGACAUGUGGUUUGUCCUCAGCAACACCUUGCAAGUGUAAAUCAGCAUACAAAAUGAAAUGGAGCAACCAGUCAUUUCACUUGUUCUAGUACAGUACAGGGUCCCUAGUGUGGUCACCUGGUGCAACUACAACAAAAUGGAGUGGUUUGGAAAGUUAAUGGACUUCACUCAUGACUCUGGCCUGAGGAGUUUGUACUUAGGGUGUUGGUCUGGGACCUGGGAAACCAGGGUUCAAUGCCUGCUCAGCCUUGAAACUCACUGCGUUACCUUGGCACAGUCUCUCAGUCUAACCUCCCUCACAAAGUUGUUGUGAGGAUAAAAUGUACCUACCACUUUGAACUCCUUGGAGGAAAGGUGGGAUAUAAAUGUAAUAAACAAAUACAUGCCAGACUUUUGCUCGCCUGGAUUUGUGUUCUGCUGUUUGGAUUCUCCUUCAUUGGAGAUUGGGAGCCACCAGCCCAGGAUAUUGUAUUAGUGAAUUUACUACAUUCAUAGGCGGUUGAUGACCUUUGAGGUCCUUGCCAACUCUGUGAUUCAACUUCUAUCUUUAUCCUUGCUCAGGGAAAUCAAUUUGACUCCUACCCUUACAAUGUUUUGAUAACUCCUGGAAGCUUUUUUAAAUUUUGGGCAAGUUGUUUGGUUGGCUUUCCUCUCCUCUCCCUGGAACUUUUUGCCUGCUGCAUUGUGUGUUAUUUAUUAUUUUAUUUUGGUUUGAUCUUACUGUUUUAGUUGUAUGUCAUCCGCUUUUGCGCAGUUUACUUGUGAGCUGAGAAAAAUGGGACAUAAAUAUUUUAGAAAAAUAAAUAAGGAUCCAAAUAUAGCCUGGCUUUAUACUGAUACUUCUCAAUGUCAUUUUCUUACCAGGAGAGAGUGAGAGGAGAUAAUGUGUGAAGAAAAAAAGCAGCCAGCUUGCUAAAUGUGAACUGGCCCCUGUGGUUAGAAAUACCCAUCACUUCUGCUAGAGGUUGAAAAAUCAGCAUGCAAAGAUGAAACAAAGUAGGGAUAGAGGAACAUUUUGUUUAAACUGCAUUUUUAAAUUAAUUUACCUAAUUUGCACCUCUUGGAUGAAGGCAGUGUACACACCAGGGGUCAGCAACCUUUUUCAGCUGUGGGCCGGUCUACCGUCCCUCAGACCAUGUGGUGGGCUGGACUAUAUUUGGGGAGGGGGGAAAUGAAUGAAUUCCUAUGCCCCACAAAUAACCCAGAGAUGCAUUUUAAAUAAAAGCACACAUUCUACUCAUGUAAAAACACCAGGCAGGCCCCACAAAUAACCUAGAGAUGCAUUUUAAAUAAAAGGACACAUUCUACUCAUGUAAAAUCACGCUGAUUCCUGGACCAUCCAUGGGCCGGAUUGAGAAGGCGAUUGGGCUGCAUCCGGCCCACGGGCCUUAGGUUGCCUACCCCUGGUACACACCAUACACUGAAAACACAUUCACCCGCCUCC